rnacentral:rRNA from 1 species
GUCGAACGCGAAAGUUCCCUUCGGGGAACAAGUAGAGUGGCGCACGGGUGAGUAACACGUAGGUAAUCUACCUUCGGAUGGGGAAUAACAACCGGAAACGGCUGCUAAUACCGCAUAAUGCAGCGGCACCUAAUGGUGACAGUUGUUAAAGCGGGGGAUCGCAAGACCCCGCGUCUGAAGAGGAGCCUGCGGCGGAUUAGCUAGUUGGUAAGGUAAUGGCUUACCAAGGCGACGAUCCGUAACCGGCCUGAGAGGGCGGUCAGUCACACUGACACUGACAUACGGGUCAGACUCCUACGGGAGGCAGCAGUCGGGAAUUUUGGGCAAUGGGCGAAAGCCUGACCCAGCAACGCCGCGUGAAGGAUGAAAUCCCUCGGGAUGUAAACUUCGCAAGAACGGGAAGAAUAAGUAGGGGACAAUACCCCCUAUGAUGACGGUACCGUUUGUAAGCUCCGGCUAACUCCGUGCCAGCAGCCGCGGUAAUACGGGGGGAGCAAGCGUUGUUCGGAUUUACUGGGCGUAAAGGGCGCGUAGGCGGCCUCCGCAAGUCAGUUGUGAAAUCUCCGGGCUUAACUCGGAAAGGUCAACUGAUACUGCGGGGCUAGAGUGCAGAAGGGGCAACUGGAAUUCUCGGUGUAGCGGUGAAAUGCGUAGAUAUCGAGAGGAACACCUGCGGCGAAGGCGGGUUGCUGGGCUGACACUGACGCUGAGGCGCGAAAGCCAGGGGAGCGAACGGGAUUAGAUACCCCGGUAGUCCUGGCCUUAAACGAUGAAUGCUUGGUGUCUGGGGUUAUAAAGUCCCCGGGUGCCGUCGCUAACGCUUUAAGCAUUCCGCCUGGGGAGUACGGUCGCAAGACUGAAACUCAAAGGAAUUGACGGGGA